UACGUAGGGACCAAGCGUUGUUCGGAUUUACUGGGCGUAAAGGGCGCGUAGGCGGCGUGACAAGUCACUUGUGAAAUCUCCGGGCUUAACUCGGAACGGUCAAGUGAUACUGUCGUGCUAGAGUACAGAAGGGGCAACUGGAAUUCUCGGUGUAGCGGUGAAAUGCGUAGAUAUUGGGAGGAACACCAGUGGCGAAGGCGGCUACCUGGACCGGUUCUGACGCUGAUGCGCGAAAGCGUGGGGAGCAAACAGGGA
rnacentral:rRNA from 1 species